CAAUAGCGUAUAUUAAAGUUGUUGCAGUUAAAGCUCGUAGUUGGAUUUGUGGUGUGUCCAGUUGGCCUUUGCUCUUUGAGUGAUAGUGCUUUACUGGUCUGCCAUGUUUGGGUGGAAUCUGUGUGGCAUUAAGUUGUCGUGCAGGGAGUGCCCAUCGUUUACUGUGAAAAAUUAGAGUGAUUCAAAGCAGGUCUUAUGCCUCUGAAUAUAUUAGCAUGGAAUAAUGAUAUAGGACCUUGGUACUAUUUUGUUGGUUUGCGCACUGAGGUAAUGAUUAAGAGGGACAGUUGGGGUGGAUUUAGUUAUUCAUUCGUUCAGAGGUGAAAUUCUUGGAUUUUUGGAAGACAAACUACUGCGAAAGCAUUUACCAAGGAUGUUUUCAUUAAUCAAGAACGAAAGUUAGGGG
rnacentral:rRNA from 1 species